UACGUAGGGUGCAAGCGUUGUCCGGAAUUAUUGGGCGUAAAGAGCUCGUAGGCGGUUUGUUGCGUCGGCUGUGAAAUCCCGAGGCUCAACCUCGGGUCUGCAGUCGAUACGAGCAAACUAGAGUGUUGCAGGGGAGACUGGAAUUCCUGGUGUAGCGGUGAAUGCGCAGAUAUCAGGAGGAACACCGGUGGCGAAGGCGGGUCUCUGGGCAACAACUGACGCUGGAGGAGCGAAAGCGUGGGGAGCGAACAGG
rnacentral:rRNA from 1 species